CACGUACUCAGCUUGCUGGGGUGGAUGAGUGGCGAACGGGUGAGUAACACGUGAGUAACCUUCCCUUGACUCUGGGAUAAGCCCGGGAAACUGGGUCUAAUACCGGAUACGACCUCCUGCCGCAUGGUAUGGGGGUGGAAAGAUUUAUCGGUCUUGGAUGGACUCGCGGCCUAUCAGCUUGUUGGUGAGGUAAUGGCUCACCAAGGCGACGACGGGUAGCCGGCCUGAGAGGGUGACCGGCCACACUGGGACUGAGACACGGCCCAGACUCCUACGGGAGGCAGCAGUGGGGAAUAUUGCACAAUGGGCGCAAGCCUGAUGCAGCGACGCCGCGUGAGGGAUGACGGCCUUCGGGUUGUAAACCUCUUUCAGUAGGGAAGAAGCGAAAGUGACGGUACCUGCAGAAGAAGCGCCGGCUAACUACGUGCCAGCAGCGGCGGUAAUGA
rnacentral:rRNA from 1 species